UACGUAGGGGGCAAGCGUUGUCCGGAUUUAUUGGGCGUAAAGAGCGUGUAGGCGGCCAUACAGGUCAGCUGUGAAAACUCGAGGCUCAACCUCGAGACGUCGGUUGAAACCGUAUGGCUAGAGUCCGGAAGAGGAGAGUGGAAUUCCCGGUGUAGCGGUGAAAUGCGCAGAUAUCGGGAAGAACACCCAUGGCGAAGGCAGCUCUCUGGGACGGUACUGACGCUGAGACGCGAAAGCGUGGGGAGCAAACAGG
rnacentral:rRNA from 1 species